GUAACCAUCACUUCAGUAGCACAUAUACUAAAAUUGGAAUGAUGCAGAUAUGAUCAGCAUGGCCCCAUGCAAGGAUGACAAGCACAUUCGUGAUGCAUUUUU
ensembl:snRNA U6 U6 spliceosomal RNA